rnacentral:lncRNA from 1 species
UGUUUAUUGCAACACCCUGCAUUAUGGUUGCAAAUGUGAGAUUAUAAUUAUUCAUUUAUUUAUCUAAACAUAGGAUAUACAUGAAAAAGAAAAAAAAUGCAUUCCGAAUGGAAUAAUUUGUCAAUUUAGAUGUCAAUAUAGUGUUACAAAAAAUAUUAUAAUAAAAAUAUUAGAGUUUGUUGCUGUGCAAUUUAUUCAUUCUUGAUUUUUAUCAUUGUAAAAUUGAUGAAUCUAUAUUUUAUUCUAAUAGUGUUAUUUAUGUUCAAUUUUGGAUGUAACUUGAAAGAUCAUUCAAUAAGUGUUUUUAUUGGAAAAGAUUGUUGUCAAUAGUACAUUGUAAUUUUGCAUGACCUAAAAUAUUACUUCAUCUUUUUAUGCAUCAAAAAGAAUUUUGAAACAACAAUUUUUCUAAAUACUUAAAACCUGAAUCAAUGCAUGGUUAAAAAAUUUUAUGUUCAAGUUUUAUUUUACAUUACAUGAAUUCAAAUUGAUUAA